rnacentral:lncRNA from 1 species
CAUAGAGCACGCAAUACAUGAAGAUUAAAUUCGGUUGGCUUGAGGGCAUUACCAGAGGCAGCAAGUUCAUCAGCCAUAGCUUUGGCACGUCGGAGCAGAGAGGUGACGGUCUCAUCUGAUUUUUGACGUAGAUUCUGCAACUCUAGAUACAGAGACAUAAGCCUGGUAAGAGAUGCUGAACCAAAGGCUUCAUGAAGAGUGGUCCAGCACUCAAAACUAGUCUCUUUGUCAAGAAGAAGAGGAACCAAAUCUUCAGAUAAUGAAGCAACAAGAAGGCUUACGAGUUGGGCAUCUUGUUGUUGUCAAGCAGUAGCGGCAAUCGGAUCGGUGGGUUGUGGGUGAGAGCCAUCAAGGAACCCAAACAGGCCUUGACCCUUUAAGAAGGGAGUAAUUUGCUUUCUCCAGAUCAAAAAAUUGGAUGCAUUUAAUUUGAUAGAUAGAAAAUGCUGUGCCGAUGGAAAGGUGAGAGGGAUCGUUGUGUUGGGUGGAGGAUGAGAAGAGGGAUUGGAGGAGGUGGAGAUAGAUGAACUGAUGGCCAUG